rnacentral:rRNA from 1 species
GAGGAAUAUUGGUCAAUGGGCGCGAGCCUGAACCAGCCAAGUCGCGUGAAGGAUGACUGUCUUAUGGAUUGUAAACUUCUUUUAUACGGGAAUAACAAGAGUCACGUGUGACUCCCUGCAUGUACCGUAUGAAUAAGCAUCGGCUAACUCCGUGCCAGCAGCCGCGGUAAUACGGAGGAUGCAAGCGUUAUCCGGAUUUAUUGGGUUUAAAGGGUGCGUAGGCGGUUUGUUAAGUCAGCGGUGAAAUCUAGAGGCUCAACCUCGAAACUGCCGUUGAAACUGGCGAACUUGAGUGUAGAUGAGGUAGGCGGAAUUCGUGGUGUAGCGGUGAAAUGCAUAGAUAUCACGAGGAACUCCAAUUGCGAAGGCAGCUUACUAAGGUACAACUGACGCUGAAGCACGAAAGCGUGGGUAUCAAACAGGAUUAGAUACCCUGGUAGUCCACGCAGUAAACGAUGAUAACUGGGCGUAUGCGAUAUACAGUAUGCUCCUAAGCGAAAGCGUUAAGUUAUCCACCUGGGGAGUACGCCGGCAACGGUG